ensembl:snRNA U2 U2 spliceosomal RNA
AUCGCUUCUCGGCCUUUUGGCUAAGAUCAAGUGUAGUAUCUGUUCUUAUCAGUUUAAUAUCUGAUACGUCCUCUAUCCGAGGACAAAAUAUUAAAUGGAUUUUUGGAGCAGGGAGAUGGAAUAGAGAGGUUGCUCCGUCCACUCCGCGCAUCGACCUGGUAUUGCAGUACCUCCAGGAACGGUGCACUUUCU